UACAAGGUGACCGAGGACAAUACCAGA
rnacentral:piRNA from 1 species